CCUACGGGAGUCAGCAGUGGGGAAUAUUGCACAAUGGGGGAAACCCUGAUGCAGCGACGCCGCGUGAGUGAAGAAGUAUUUCGGUAUGUAAAGCUCUAUCAGCAGGGAAGAAAAUGACGGUACCUGAUUAAGAAGCCACGGCUAACUACGUGCCAGCAGCCGCGGUAAUACGUAGGGGGCAAGCGUUAUCCGGCUUGACUGGGUGGAAAGGGAGCGUAGACGGCAGCGCAAGUCUGAAGUGAAAUGCCGGGGCUUAACCCCGGAACUGCUUGGGAAACUGUGCAGCUAGAGUGCAGGAGAGGUAAGUGGAAUUCCGAGUGUAGCGGUGAAAUGAGUAGAUAUUAGGAGGAACACCAGUGGCGAAGGCGGCUUACUGGACUGUAACUGACGUUGAGGCUCGAAAGCGUGGGGAGCAAACAGGAUUAGAUACCCGAGUAGUC
rnacentral:rRNA from 1 species